rnacentral:rRNA from 1 species
ACGUAGGGGGCAAGCGUUGUCCGGAAUCAUUGGGCGUAAAGGGCGCGUAGGCGGAUAUUUAAGUCUGGUGUGAAAGACUGGGGCUCAACCCCAGGGUUGCAUCGGAAACUGGAUAUCUUGAGGACAGGAGAGGAAAGUGGAAUUCCACGUGUAGCGGUGAAAUGCGUAGAUAUGUGGAGGAACACCAGUGGCGAAGGCGACUUUCUGGACUGUAACUGACGCUGAGGCGCGAAAGCGUGGGGAGCAAACAGGAUUAGAUACCCAUGUAGUCC